GCUUACACAUGCAAGUCGAACGGAAAGGCCCUGCUUUUGUGGGGUGCUCGAGUGGCGAACGGGUGAGUAACACGUGAGUAACCUGCCCUUGACUUUGGGAUAACUUCAGGAAACUGGGGCUAAUACCGGAUAGGAGCUCCUGCUGCAUGGUGGGGGUUGGAAAGUUUCGGCGGUUGGGGAUGGACUCGCGGCUUAUCAGCUUGUUGGUGGGGUAGUGGCUUACCAAGGCUUUGACGGGUAGCCGGCCUGAGAGGGUGACCGGCCACAUUGGGACUGAGAUACGGCCCAGACUCCUACGGGAGGCAGCAGUGGGGAAUAUUGCACAAUGGGCGGAAGCCUGAUGCAGCAACGCCGCGUGCGGGAUGACGGCCUUCGGGUUGUAAACCGCUUUCGCCUGUGACGAAGCGUGAGUGACGGUAAUGGGUAAAGAAGCACCGGCUAACUACGUGCCAGCAGCCGCGGUGAUACGUAGGGUGCGAGCGUUGUCCGGAUUUAUUGGGCGUAAAGGGCUCGUAGGUGGUUGAUCGCGUCGGAAGUGUAAUCUUGGGGCUUAACCCUGAGCGUGCUUUCGAUACGGGUUGACUUGAGGAAGGUAGGGGAGAAUGGAAUUCCUGGUGGAGCGGUGGAAUGCGCAGAUAUCAGGAGGAACACCAGUGGCGAAGGCGGUUCUCUGGGCCUUUCCUGACGCUGAGGAGCGAAAGCGUGGGGAGCGAACAGGCUUAGAUA
rnacentral:rRNA from 1 species